GGCGCCGUUCGGGAGAGAGGGAAAAGACGGUGAGAUCAACACGCGCGGCGGGCCAGACGGUGGCACCGCCCGCCCGCCGUCUUGUGCGUCGUUUUACGUUUCUGAACACCAGCCAACAAAACGACACGGAACCGCAGCGGCGUCGUGCGCGUGCAUUUCCUGCGCGUUCACUGCUGCCGUUCACUGUACACGACGCUCCGUCGGCCGUGUGAGAGCGCUGCUGCUGGCACAGCCGUUCCCGUUGACGACGACGCCACCACCGCCACGUUGUGGACGAAGGACGGCCACACGGAUGGACAUCCGCGGUGGACGCGAUAGGCGGCCGGGCGACAGGCGUCCGCACAGGGGCCCUCGGGCACCUAGGCGGCCGCAGUGGUCGCCCGACCAACAGCAACGUGUAGUGGUCGGCGCUGAAACGGCGGCCGGUUCGACAGCCACGGCCUCCACCGCCGGCCCUUGCAAACCGCCGCCGCCGCCACCUCCCCGACUGCUACCGUCACCCAGACUGCCACUGUCACAGCCCCCGCCGCCCCGAUUGAUACGGCCACAGACUCCACCGACGGAACAGCCACAGCCACUGCAGCCGUCGACGCCGAGGUUACCGCCGCCGAUUGGACCACAGCCGCAACAGGAAUGCCGGAUACGGGAAUCCGGUGACGGAGUGGAAGACUGCGAAGAUGCUGCCGGAGGAAGCAGCGUGGCCGAUGACACCGAACUGCUCGCCAAGCUCCGGUGUCCCAGCGAGAGCGCCGAGGUGGUCGCCGAACGGGAGAAGCGACGACAGCGACGACGGUGCCCCGACUAUCCCGGGCUGGCGCUUUCCAGUUCCGUGUUCAGCACGGAAACGGGCAUGAAGUUCAGUAUCAUCAGGAACGAACUACACAACGUGCUCAAGCCGCAACUGCGACGGGCUGAAAGUGAAGUUGCUGCACUUAACAGGCGUAUCCAAUUGCUGGAAGAGGACCUUGAAAGGUCUGAAGAGCGCUUGGCCACGGCCACUGCUAAGUUGGCCGAGGCAUCUCAAGCUGCUGAUGAGUCUGAACGUGCACGUAAGGUGUUGGAAAACCGCAGUUUGGCCGAUGAAGAACGUAUGGAUGCCUUGGAGAAUCAGCUAAAGGAAGCCCGCUUCUUGGCUGAAGAAGCUGAUAAGAAAUAUGAUGAGGUAGCGCGUAAGCUGGCCAUGGUUGAAGCCGACUUGGAAAGAGCCGAAGAACGUGCCGAAUCAGGCGAAUCAAAGAUCGUGGAAUUGGAAGAAGAAUUACGUGUUGUUGGCAACAACUUGAAAUCUCUCGAGGUUUCGGAAGAAAAGGCCACACAAAGGGAAGAAACGUUUGAGGAACAAGUGAAAGGUCUCGGAGCACAGCUCAAAGAGGCUGAGGCACGCGCUGAAUUCGCUGAGAGAUCAGUGCAGAAAUUGCAGAAGGAAGUCGACAGGCUCGAAGACGACUUAACUGGCGAAAAGGAAAAGAACAAACAUCUGCAAGAGGAAAUGGAGGCCACCCUGCACGACAUUCAAAACAUGUAAAAUAACAUACCGUCCCGCGUUUUCCUUCCCCGUCCCUUCUUAGCAAAUUUCCUACUCCUUAUUAAAAAUUAUCUAAUAUUAUUAUUUAAUUUUUUAAACAAUUUUUUUUAUACUUUUACACUCGUUAUAUUUAUGUUUUGUUUAACAUUUCCGCACUCCAUACUAACUUCGUUAUUGCACAGAUGAGUUGGUCGCCGAAAAGGAGAGAUUCAGAGACAUUGGCGACAGCUUGGACCUUGCGUUUGUCGACUUGUAUGGCAUCUAAACACAAAAAAAACACAAACACACAACACACACAGACCUCCUCCUUUCCCGACACACACGAUUCCACUAAAUUUUAUCCAUUUCCGUCGUCUUUAUCUCCGACCACUCUCCUGCAGCUCUACCGAUUACCACACACUACAUUCCCUUUAUAUACAAAA
rnacentral:misc_RNA from 1 species